AACGAACGCUGGCGGCAGGCUUAACACAUGCCAGUCGAGCGCCCCGCAAGGGGUGCGGCAGACGGGUGAGUAACGCGUGGGAACGUACCUUUUGGUUCGGAACAACUCCGGGAAACUGGAGCUAAUACCGGAUAAGCCCUAACGGGGAAAGAUUUAUCGCCGAAAGAUCGGCCCGCGUCUGAUUAGCUAGUUGGUGAGGUAACGGCUCACCAAGGCGACGAUCAGUAGCUGGUCUGAGAGGAUGAUCAGCCACACUGGGACUGAGACACGGCCCAGACUCCUACGGGAGGCAGCAGUGGGGAAUAUUGGACAAUGGGCGCAAGCCUGAUCCAGCCAUGCCGCGUGAGUGAUGAAGGCCUUAGGGUUGUAAAGCUCUUUUGUCCGGGAAGAUAAUGACUGUACCGGAAGAAUAAGCCCCGGCUAACUUCGUG
rnacentral:rRNA from 1 species